UUCAGAGUCGCGUUGUUGUUUGUUUGAAUACUUGUUAUAGAUUCGGCCGUAAAUCACCAAUUUUAUUCUAAUAACAUCUGCAAUUAUUCUGUUGGAUUAAUUUCAUGGUUAAUGGUGGAUCUUUUACAUUUGAAAAUUGAUGUUAUGUCUUAAAAUCAAUGGGGAUCUAAAGGCUAAAAUAUUUACGGAGUUGUGCUGUUGUUUCCAUAUACAAGCACGUCAUUAAUGCACAUUCAUUGUUUAUUUUGCUGUUGAAAUGUGUCGGCGAAUGUUUUUAAAUGUAUUUACAAUAAGUCAAGUGAAGUGUGCAUUACACAAGAUAAGAAGAACGUGUGAUGGAACCAGGCCCGGUUCCUGCAGGUGCAAAAGGGUGGGCUAGAUAUCAUGGGUCUGGCUGAUGUUGAAAGUGUCUCGGUAUUGAACUGCACUGAAAAUGAAAUAACAAUGGAAUGGAAUAAAGUGCACAACAUCAAAAAUUAUGUUUAAGUGAUAUUGACUGAUAACAUAAAGAGUUUCAUCAGAGGGUCUGAUAACGUUUCCGUAGUCAGACAAACGGUUUCCUCUCUCUAUCCUGGACGGAUACACUACUUUAUGCUCCACGCUGUAUUAAACAGAGAAAUGAGCGCUGGAUAUCUUUUCCAUGCAGCUACAGCUCCAUCAAAAGCCAACGGCCUUCACUGCGAGUAUUCGUGGAUGGGGAGUAUUAGAACUCUGAAUUGGGAUGCUCAGUUUGGAUUGAGAUCUGAAUUUGAGCUUCGGGUCAACAGUGGAAUUCCAGAACAGGUGAACGUCACAAGAUAUCAGAUUGAUGAUGUGCCUUCAGCUGUACGACUUCACUGUGACAUCACUUUCUAAAGACGGGAGAAGUAGUCCAGUGUCAAUCACAUGUCAAACCAACAAAUCAGGUGCAAUUACAGUAUGUGUGUUGAUUGUUCUUUUAAUAAUUGUGUUGCUUGUAUGUAUGGGAGUCUUCUGCAAGUAUAGAAGAUUUGAUUUCAGAAGAUGUAUUUUGGGAGAACGGGUGAAUGAGCGGAACGCUGCUGAUCAGCCACUGGAUCGGAUCUAUGUAAACACAUCCACUCGCAACACUCCAGAGAAUCACAAUUCAAGUGUUGAAUCAGAGAGUAAAGACAGCGGGGAGAUCAAUCAUUAUGAAGCCCCUGAUGUGAUCGUAUGAAUACUAUUGUAACACUUCUUAUAUAUCCAAUUACUUAAAUCUAUUCACGUUUACUUCAGCUCAGUUUAAAGAUUAACAAAUGUCCUGAUGUUAAUAUAUCAAAAUCGUCAUCACAGUACUUACCAUUGUUGUUUUUUAAAGAGGCUUCUGUCAAUGAUCAAAAAAGUCGAAUACAGAAGCAUGAAGGAAAAACCCAUAAACAUUUGCCUCUCUGGUUUCCAUGUUAAAAUAUAACUCACAUUUGACAGACACUCCCUUUAGAAGGUUUGAUAAAAAGACGAUGCACACAUAUGAAUAUGACAAGAAUAUGUGGUUUAUGCACGUAAAAAUGAUAUCUACUGCUAUAAGUAAUAUUGCA